CCCGUACGCCACAAGUGGGCUGAACUACGUGUCGACUAUUCAUUGGCGGAGGGGAAAUCCACAGAUGGGAUUUCUCAGAUGACGAUCCUUCCGUCGCCGUUUGGUUUAGAGAGAAGGGCUUUUAUGGAAUCGCCGGUGAGGGGAGAAGCGGGGGGUAAGGUAAAUAUGACGUUGGCAGGAGAUAUGCCACGUCUCCGCCACCUACAGGGCGAAUUAGCGGCAAGCACAGAGCACCCACGUCUCCGCCGUCGAGAGGGUGAAUCAGCGGCAAAGCGUCCUGCACAAUUAGGCGGAGAUGAUCAAAACGUUUCAAAUCGAUUUCACUGAAGAACGGGUUUGAAGGUGGAGUACAUCGUGUGGAUUUGAACGGGUUUGUGCACGUUUUCGGAUACGAAUGCGGCGUUUUUGCUUAGGAGUUGAAAUCGAUGAAUUUAUGAAUGGAUCGAGGCUAGAAACCGCAUGCAAACCAGAUUCUGCGCAUUCCCUACUGAGGAUGGAAUCGAAAGCAGUCAUAUAUGCAUCCAAGGAUUCAAUUGCAGUGAUGUCAUUUUUAAUCUAUCGUCAGGUUGUGUCUUAAGGCGAAGGCAUCUUGGCUUGAAG